rnacentral:rRNA from 1 species
UGAUUAAUAGGGACAGUUGGGGGCAUUCGUUAUUUAGUAGCUAGAGGUGAAAUUCUUAGACCUACUAAAGACGAACUACUGCGAAAGCAUCUGCCAAGGAUGUUUUCAUUAAUCAAGAACGAAAGUUAAGGGAUCGAAGACGAUCAGAUACCGUCGUAGUCUUAACCAUAAACGAUGCCGACUAGAGAUUGGAAGCUGUCAA